rnacentral:tRNA from 1 species
GGGGAAUUAGCUCAAUUGGCAGAGCAUCUGUUUUGCAUACAGAAGGUUAACGGUUCAAUUCCGUUAUUCUCCA